GCUUGCUCCCUGAUGUUAGCGGCGGACGGGUGAGUAACACGUGGGUAACCUGCCUGUAAGACUGGGAUAACUCCGGGAAACCGGGGCUAAUACCGGAUGCUUGUUUGAACCGCAUGGUUCAAACAUAAAAGGUGGCUUCGGCUACCACUUACAGAUGGACCCGCGGCGCAUUAGCUAGUUGGUGAGGUAACGGCUCACCAAGGCAACGAUGCGUAGCCGACCUGAGAGGGUGAUCGGCCACACUGGGACUGAGACACGGCCCAGACUCCUACGGGAGGCAGCAGUAGGGAAUCUUCCGCAAUGGACGAAAGUCUGACGGAGCAACGCCGCGUGAGUGAUGAAGGUUUUCGGAUCGUAAAGCUCUGUUGUUAGGGAAGAACAAGUACCGUUCGAAUAGGGCGGUACCUUGACGGUACCUAACCAGAAAGCCACGGCUAACUACGUGCCAGCA
rnacentral:rRNA from 1 species